GGAGCACGCCGCGUGAGCGAAGAAGGUCUUCGGAUCGUAAAGCUCUGUUGUCAGGGAAGAACAAGUGCCGUUCGAACAGGGCGGUACCUUGACGGUACCUGACGAGGAAGCCACGGCUAACUACGUGCCAGCAGCCGCGGUAAUACGUAGGUGGCAAGCGUUGUCCGGAAUUAUUGGGCGUAAAGCGCGCGCAGGCGGUUCCUUAAGUCUGAUGUGAAAUCUCGCGGCUCAACCGCGAGCGGCCAUUGGAAACUGGGGAACUUGAGUGCAGGAGAGGGGAGCGGAAUUCCACGUGUAGCGGUGAAAUGCGUAAAGAUGUGGAGGAACACCAGUGGCGAAGGCGGCUCUCUGGCCUGUAACUGACGCUGAGGCGCGAAAGCGUGGGGAGCGAACAGGAUUAGAUACCCUGGUAGUCCACGCCGUAAACGAUGAGUGCUAAGUGUUAGAGGGUAUCCACCCUUUAGUGCUGC
rnacentral:rRNA from 1 species